AUUUUUCAAUUAUCUUCUGUUAUGCAGAGAAAGUAUCCUGGAUGUAAGCUGGACCCCAUCCAUUCACAGCACGGUACGUGAGCACCAGUGUUUAGAACUGGAUGAGCCACCGGUACCAGUGAAGAGAGCGGAGGAGUGGAGGAGUGAGGGAGAACUUAGGAAGGUUAAAGACCAGUGGAGCUGCUGCAUUCUGGAUGAGCUGCAGAGGCUGAAUGGAGGUAGCAGGAGACCUGCAGGAGAGAGUUACAGUAGUCCAGGAGGGAGACGACAAGAGCCUGAAUCAGUACCUUCUGAGUGAGAAGAGGACGUGUUCUCCUGAUGUUGUAGAGCGAGUAUCUACAGGAUGGUGUUGUCCGUGACGUUGGAGUCAGGGAGAGUCGGCUGUCGACGUCACGCCGAGGUUCCUGCAGUCAGAGUGGACGUUAACACGGAGUCUCAAAGUUGACAGUCAGGUCCUGUGAAGGAGAAUCUUUGGAGAACCAAGAGAAGUGGUUCAGUCUGUCGGGGUUGAUUUUCAGAUGGUGGGCAGAUCCACUGAGAGAUGUCAGUCAGACAGGCAGAGAUCCGAGUGAGGGAAGGAGAGGAUUAGUUGUGUGUCAUCGGCAUCGCUGUGGUAGGUGAAGCCAUGCGAGCGAAUGACAGCGCAGAGAGAGUUGGUGUAGAGCGAGAAGAGGAGGAGACCCAGGACGGAACCCUGAGGAACUCCAGUAGUAAGAGGACAAAGUUCCGACGCAGAUCCUCUCUAGGUUACCCGGUAGGUGCGUCCGUCGAGGUAGGACGAGAGAAGGGAGAGAGCAGAGCCUGAGACAGAAGGACGAGGACAGAGGACAGAGAGGAGCUCUAGCAGAGUUGCUCUGUCAGCUAUGUUCUUGGUAAAGUAGUUGACAAAGUCAACCCGUCAUGUUUGAAUAAGUGUGGCGGGACGCCUCAAUCCAAUCGAUUGGCUGAUUACUCGUGUUUCUCUCCUGCUGCCUGGCGGGAGAUUUAAACCUCCUUCUCAGACGUGACGGCGUUCUGCAACUCAAGGAUGGAAAUACUUCUGAGCUCCUGGGCCCAUAUGAGACAAAGAUGUGUGUGACAAACUCCUUCUGUGUCCAACAUACGUACUUUGGCACUAAAUGUUUUCUGAUCCUGCAGAGGAGGGGGGGGGGUGACUGGGGGGGUCUUAAUAUAGAAUCUACUGACUGUCACUUUUUACCCCCCAGAAAAGGAUCCUGCACGCUUGCGUGUUCAUCGGAGGAGAACUGAUUGGUGUGCGUGGGGAGGAAGUGAUGAGUCACGACUCGCAAGAGAGAUGAUAUACAUAUAUAUGUGUAUAUACAUUAUAUCAUAUAUAUAUAUAUGUAUACGUAAAAUAACUCUGGAAAAAGAAAGAUUGUACAAAAAGGUUUUUUGUUGACAGGGAAUAUUUGUAUUUAUUCAUUAAAAAAAGACGUUAUUUUCAUCCUACAUGUCUCCUUUUUGAGCGGCACGGCGGUUGUCAGCAGCAAGAAGGUCCCGGGUUCCACUCUCUCUUCUCCCCGUGUCUGCGUGGGUUCCACCAAUCAGGGUGUAAACACACGUUGUGGAUCCGCCCGCCUGCUCGGAUGGAUUCACUGCUUCCGUUGACUUUUGGAGCUUUCUCUAAAUGGUGACGGAGCAGGUGUGGACUUCAUCUUCAUAUCACACGUUCAGCUGUAACAGCUGCGCCUGUUGAAGUUGAGAAUGUUCCUCGCUUGUCAUUGAGGGGUGAUGGUGGGUCCCGGAGACAGACCAGUCCAGAGCCACUCAUUUAGAGGUCCUUUCUUUCUUUCUUUCAUUCUUUGAGGCCACACUGGAAAUGUAAUAAAGCACAAACACAUUCAUUCACUGUCAUUGCUUGUAUGUGACUUUAACUGAUCCUCCUCACCUCCUUUCCUAACUUCUCCACUUCUCCUCAACCUCUGUGGGAAACCUUGCAGGGGCCGAGGAAAGGUGGUAAGGAGAGUUCACAAGGAGAGUUUACGAGGUGCGAGGAGACGACAGUGUUGGUGUUAAGAGAACUUGACACUGACGUGGAACUCCACCCUUCAGAAGAAGGAGCCCAGAGGAGCUCUUCUGAGAUACUUCCUUCACAAACACGACUCAGAUUGAGGAGGACCUCCUGGUGCAGACGAAAGACUGGCAACUUCCAUCAUACCAGUGACCUUCUGACCCCUCGACCUUUUCAUGAAAGAGAGAGGAGGAGGACGAGGAAGAGGAGGAAGAGGACGAGGAGGAAGAGGAGGAGGACGAAUAGAAGGAUGAGGACGUGGAGGAGGAGGACGAGGACGAGGAGGAGGAGGAGGAGGAAGAGGAGGACUAGGAGCAGGAGGAGAAGAUGAGGAAGAGGAAGAGGACGACGACGAAGAGGAGGACGAGGAGGACGAGGACGAGGAGGACGAGGAGGAGAUCGAGGAUGAAGAGGAGGACGACGACGAAGAGGAGGACGAGGAGGAGGACGAGGAUGAAGAGAAGGACGAUGA
ensembl:lncRNA